GACGAACGCUGGCGGCGUGCUUAACACAUGCAAGUCGAACGGAAAGGCCCUGCUUUUGUGGGGUGCUCGAGUGGCGAACGGGUGAGUAACACGUGAGUAACCUGCCCUUUACUUUGGGAUAACUUCAGGAAACUGGGGCUAAUACCGGAUAGGAGCUCCUGCUGCAUGGUGGGGGUUGGAAAGUUUCGGCGGUUGGGGAUGGACUCGCGGCUUAUCAGCUUGUUGGUGGGGUAGUGGCUUACCAAGGCUUUGACGGGUAGCCGGCCUGAGAGGGUGACCGGCCACAUUGGGACUGAGAUACGGCACAGACUCCUACGGGAGGCAGCAGUGGGGAAUAUUGCACAAUGGGCGGAAGCCUGAUGCAGCAACGCAGCGUGCGGGAUGACGGCCUUCGGGUUGUAAACCGCUUUCGCCUGUGACGAAGCGUGAGUGACGGUAAUGGGUAAAGAAGCACCGGCUAACUACGUG
rnacentral:rRNA from 1 species